UUUUUCAAGGACACAGAGGGGAGAAAGGCCAUAAAGGACCUUCUGUCUUUUGUAAUUGUUCUACAGCAAAUUCCUUCAAGCCAAUCCCUGGCACAGGAAGAUAUAAUGCUGAUAAGGCAGUAUCUAUUUACAUUGUGAAUGGUGAGAGCGAGAUGUCGGAGUUAAGAUCUGAAAAUGUUAUGGUCCUGAGGAGAGAUACUCGCAUGCUGUUCGUCUACAGUGGCUCUGAAUGGAUUGAUGUUAUGGCUCAGAACAAACAUCCCACUGCAUCUGCUCUGUGACUACCCUCCUGCAAGAAGCACCCCCAUGUAGUAUGUGGUUCUGUCCUUGAGCUGUUGUCUAUUCAUGUUCUGUAAUAUGUCAUGUUUCAUGUUUUGUGUGGACCCCAGGGAGGGUAGCUGCUGCUUUUGUAAUGAGGAUCCUAAUAAAACACCAAAAAAUACUCAAAACAAAUGAAGA